UACAAAUAAGUCUACGUAUUGGCAUUUGGCACGUUAAAUUCGUGUCAAAUGGCCCGACUUUAGUCAGUCGCUCCGGAAGCGUCGUUGUAUUCGGUCGCGUCUUGUCAAUUACUCUCGUCUCGUGUGUGCAAGCAAAACCAAUCGUAAAGUACUACUUACUUGUGUGAUGAGAUUCUGCACAAACUAUUCGACAAAGAUUUCUAAAAGUCAAGGGAUCACUCAUUACCUGAAAAAAAGAGUAUAUUUUGUGGAAGAAAAUGUGUA